rnacentral:rRNA from 1 species
GNGCGCAGCCUGAUGCAGCCUGCCGCGUGUAUGAAGAAGGCCUUCGGGUUGUAAAGUACUUUCAGCAGUGAGGAAGGCAGGNNCGUUAAUAGCGNGCUUGUUUGACGUUAGCUGCAGAAGAAGCACCGGCUAACUCCGUGCCAGCAGCCGCGGUAAUACGGAGGGUGCUGAGCGUUAAUCGGAAUUACUGGGCGUAAAGCGCAUGCAGGUGGUUUGUUAAGUCAGAUGUGAAAGCCCGGGGCUCAACCUCGGAAUUGCAUUUGAAACUGGCAGACUAGAGUACUGUAGAGGGGGGUAGAAUUUCAGGUGUAGCGGUGAAAUGCGUAGAGAUCUGAAGGAAUACCGGUGGCGAAGGCGGCCCCCUGGACAGAUACUGACACUCAGAUGCGAAAGCGUGGGGAGCAAACAGGAUUAGAUACCCUGGUAGUCCACGCCGUAAACGAUGUCUACUUGGAGGUUGUGGCCUUGAGCCGUGGCUUUCGGAGCUAACGCGUUAAGUAGACCGCCUGGGGAGUACGGUCGCAAGAUUAAAACUCAAAUGAAUUGACGGGGGCCCGCACAAGCGGUGGAGCAUGUGGUUUAAUUCGAUGCAACGCGAAGAACCUUACCUACUCUUGACAUCCAGAGAACUU